rnacentral:rRNA from 1 species
GGGCGAAAGCCUGAUGGAGCAACGCCGCGUGAGUGAAGAAGGAUUUCGGUUCGUAAAACUCUGUUGUAAGGGAAGAACAAGUACAGUAGUAACUGGCUGUACCUUGACGGUACCUUAUUAGAAAGCCACGGCUAACUACGUGCCAGCAGCCGCGGUAAUACGUAGGUGGCAAGCGUUGUCCGGAAUUAUUGGGCGUAAAGCGCGCGCAGGUGGUUUCUUAAGUCUGAUGUGAAAGCCCACGACUCAACCGUGGAGGGUCAUUGGAAACUGGGAGACUUGAGUGCAGAAGAGGAUAGUGGAAUUCCAAGUGUAGCGGUGAAAUGCGCAGAGAUUUGGAGGAAUACCAGUGGCGAAGGCGACUAUCUGGUCUGUAACUGACACUGAGGCGCGAAAGCGUGGGGAGCAAACAGGAUUAGAUACCCUGGUAGUCCACGCCGUAAACGAUGAGUGCUAAGUGUUAGGGGGUUUCCGCCCCUUAGUGCUGCAGCUAACGCAUUAAGCACUCCGCCUGGGGAGUACGGUCGCAAGACUGAAACU